rnacentral:rRNA from 1 species
AACGAACGCUGGCGGCAUGCCUAACACAUGCAAGUCGAACGAGACCUUCGGGUCUAGUGGCGCACGGGUGCGUAACGCGUGGGAAUCUGCCCUUGGGUUCGGAAUAACUCAGAGAAAUUUGAGCUAAUACCGGAUGAUGACGAAAGUCCAAAGAUUUAUCGCCCAGGGAUGAGCCCGCGUAAGAUUAGCUUGUUGGUGGGGUAAUGGCCUACCAAGGCGACGAUCUUUAGCUGGUCUGAGAGGAUGAUCAGCCACACUGGGACUGAGACACGGCCCAGACUCCUACGGGAGGCAGCAGUGGGGAAUAUUGGACAAUGGGCGCAAGCCUGAUCCAGCAAUGCCGCGUGAGUGAUGAAGGCCUUAGGGUUGUAAAGCCCUUUUACCAGGGAUGAUAAUGACAGUACCUGGAGAAUAAGCUCCGGCUAACUCCGUG